UGCACCGGGCCCAGCCGCUGUGGAGCAGGGGCUGAGCCCCCAGAAGUCAGGUUCCUGGGAGGCGGAGCUCAGGAAAUGCUGGGCCCAGGGUCCCGUGCCCUCAGGUCCCCGGGCUGGGGAUGCUGGGCCCAGGGUCCCGUGCCCUCAGGUCCCCGGGCUGGGGAUGCUGGGCCCAGGGUCCCGUGCCCUCAGGUCCCCGGGCUGGGGAUGCUGGGCCCAGGGUCCCGUGCCCUCAGGUCCCCGGGCUGGGGAUGCUGGGCCCAGGGUCCCGUGCCCUCAGGUCCCCGGGCUGGGGAUGCUGGGCCCAGGGUCCCCUGCCGUCAGGCCCCCCCGGCUGAGGUUGUGCAGUGCCAGACCAGCGGUGGGGGCGCGGCCCAGGUGGAGUCCAGGCUGUUGCCGCGAGGGUUUCCUGCAGCAAGAACCCGGCGCCGGCUGAAGGCUCCGACGUUUCUCCCGGACCCUGUGAGCUGGAGCUGGCUCCCUGCAGCCGCUGUCACUUCCUGGGGCGCAGCAGGGGUGGCCGCUGCGCCUCCGGACCCCAGGGCCCCGUCUGGGACGGAGCUGCAGGCGCCGCGGGGGUCUCACCAGCUGGGGGGUCCUCAGGAUCUGCUGACAGCCUGAAGACAGCAGGACCUGAGGGAGGCAGGGCGGGAGCUCUGGCACACAG